rnacentral:rRNA from 1 species
CCUACGGGCGGCAGCAGUAGGGAAUAUUGCUCAAUGGAGGAAACCCUGAAGCAGCAACGCCGCGUGGAGGAUGAAGGUUUUCGGAUUGUAAACUCCUUUUGUUAGAGAAGAUAAUGACGGUCUCUAACGAAUAAGCACCGGCCAACUCCCUGCCAGCAGCCGCCGUCAUACGGAGGGUGCAAGCGUUACUCGGAAUCACUGGUCGUAAAGAGCGAGUAGGCGGGAUAGCAAGUCAGAUGUGAAAUCCUAUGGCUUAACCCUGGAACUGCAUUUGAAACUGUUAUUCUAGAGUAUGGGAGAGGUAGGUGGAAUUCGUGGUGUAGGGGUAAAAUGCGGAGAGAUAAAGAGGAAUACUCAUGGCGAAGGCGACCUGCUAGAACAUAACUGACGCUGAUGCGCGAAAGCGUGGGGAGCAAACAGGAUUAGAUACCCUAGUAGUC